AAAACGAGAAGAACUCAGGACCCUUACUUCCAGCAGAUCGAGCUGUUGAUUCUAAAAUUUUCUCUCAACUGAUCAUAAUCAUAUAUCGGACCACACAACAUCACUGUCAUUAUCAAGCUAGGUUGGAGAACAAUUACUCGAUUUCAUUUGUAAUUGCUUAAACUCAAUUGAUCAAAUCGAUUGGUCUCAAAAAAUUGAAAUCUCGGGGAUUUUCAACUGAAGUUUGAGAUUUCAAUUGAAAUCCAGAGUUGAAUCAGAUUAUUUGGUUGUCCGUUGGAGAACAGUUACUUGAUUUGCAAAAUCCCCUAAUCGAUUUGUCUGAAAAAAAAUAAAAUCUCGGGGAUUUUGAAUUGAAGUUUGAGAUUCAGAUUGAAUCCAGAGUUGAAUCACAUGAUUGGAUUGUCCAUAUACACAUGCUGAUGCACUUAUGUUCGUAGGAACUAAACCUAGAACUGGGAACUAUGAAUUUCAGGGUGUUUGUUGUUGGUGGUGAAUUGUGGUGAUGGUGGUGGUGAAGUAGCCAGAAACCAAGAGAGAAUCAGAGAUAGAAAUGAAGGUACAAAUAUUUGACAGCAUCUAAAGAAAGUAAUCAGACAAAAGAGAACUCAUAAUACAGUUCCUUCAGUGGGAUCCGACAACGCCCCAAGAAAAAGAUCCCGUGAAAGUCCAACAAAUAUUGAUGUUUCAAUGGAGCUCAACCCGUCCUCUAGAUCCAGACCCCACAAAAGUCCCAAGACUUUUGGAACAUGCUCAAAGUCAAGCAUUGAUGCAAGCACAAAAUGAAAAAGGUAGGUAAACAAAUGAAGUUAAUGGAUUUUUGAUGAGAAUAAGCCCAAAGAGGUAACCGAGACAAAUUAUUUCCACCCAGCAGGCAUGGCUAUCUAGAAAAAACGAGACAAAUGGUACUUCGCCAAGCAUCAGGAGAUAUCAGAGAAUUUUUGUGUCAUUAUUAGACCCAUUACCAUAGUGCUUAUUUUUUUGUAUUACUUUUACCAUGUGUAUUUUUCCGCAAUAAUAGGAAAAUUCAGCUAAAGGCAUGUAUCCAUACAUAUUGGUGCAGUUGCAGUUGUUUUGUUGGUGAAACUGAAAGUAGUUAUUCUGGCGAGUUCUGGAUCGACCAAUUAAUUCACCUUUUUUUCCUUCAUGUGAAGCGAAUAACUAUAAUGAACGGCGCCAUGUGAUGAUGGGACUACCGGUGGUUGAAUGAAAUGAACGGCAGGCGCGACGUGUUAUACUAGUCUUAAUAAAUAAACUUUCAUUAAUUAAACAAUAAAUUUAUUAAUAAAGCAACAUAAUAAUUUGUAAAAUUAUCUUUCCAACCCAUUACAUUUUUCUAAAUAGUAAAAGAAAUUAGGCAUGACCGGGGUGGUAGUGCAUUAAGUCGGUGAAGAUAGUGAUGUGGUGGAAAAUGUAGUGUAAUAGGUGGUUCCUGUGGUGGUAGUGCAGGUUCAGUGUGAUAGUGGAUAAAUGUUUACUUCAUGUCGUUUAGACACAAAUAAAAUUGUUACUAAAGUUGA